UACAGAGGUCUCGAGCGUUGUUCGGAUUCAUUGGGCGUAAAGGGUGCGUAGGUGGCGCCGUAAGUCGGGUGUGAAAUUUCGGAGCUUAACUUCGAAACUGCAUUCGAUACUGCGGUUCUUGAGGACUGGAGAGGAGACUGGAAUUCAUGGUGUAGCAGUGAAAUGCGUAGAGAUCAUGAGGAAGACCAGUGGCGAAGGCGGGUCUCUGGACAGUUCCUGACACUGAGGCACGAAGGCCAGGGGAGCAAACGGG
rnacentral:rRNA from 1 species